AACGAACGCUGGCGGCAUGCCUAACACAUGCAAGUCGAACGAGACCUUCGGGUCUAGUGGCGCACGGGUGCGUAACGCGUGGGAACCUGCCCUUAGGUUCGGAAUAACUCCCCGAAAGGGGUGCUAAUACCGGAUAAUGUCUUCGGACCAAAGAUUUAUCGCCUUUGGAUGGGCCCGCGUUGGAUUAGCUAGUUGGUAGGGUAAAAGCCUACCAAGGCGACGAUCCAUAGCUGGUCUGAGAGGAUGAUCAGCCACACUGGGACUGAGACACGGCCCAGACUCCUACGGGAGGCAGCAGUGGGGAAUAUUGGACAAUGGGCGAAAGGCUGAUCCAGCAAUGCGUGAGUGAUGAAGGCCUUAGGGUUGUAAAGCUCUUUUAACCGGGAUGAUAAUGACAGUACCGGGAGAAUAAGCUCCGGCUAACUCCGUG
rnacentral:rRNA from 1 species